rnacentral:rRNA from 1 species
GUGAACGAUCAAGGGCGCGCGGUGGAUGCCUUGGCUCUCGGAGGCGAUGAAGGACGCGAUAAGCCGCGAUAGGCCACGGCGAGGUGCAAGUAACCCUUGACCCGUGGAUUUCCGAAUGGGGCAACCCGGCCGUCUAGAUGACGGUCAUCCAGCAAUGGAGGCGAACGCGGGGAACUGAAACAUCUCAUUACCCGCAGGAGAAGAAAACAACAGUGAUUCCCCCAGUAGUGGCGAGCGAACGGGGAAGAGCCCAAACCGGUGCCGUUUCGGCGACACCGGGGUCAUGGGACCGCGCCAUUCGACGAUGGACGAAGUGCAAUUACCUGGAAAGGUAAGCCGCGGAGGGUGAUAGCCCCGUGCACGACAGCCCCAUCGAAGAUAGCGGAAUCCCGAGUAGGGCGGGACACGAGAAAUCCUGCCUGAAUUCGCCAGGACCCCCUGGCAAGGCUAAAUACUCCCGAGAGACCGAUAGUGAACCAGUACCGCGAGGGAAAGGUGAAAAGUACCCCGAGCAGGGGGGUGAAAUAGACCCUGAACCCGCGCGCCUACAAGCGGUCGGAGCCAUGAAAUAUGGUGACGGCGUGCCUUUUGCAUAAUGAGCCUACGAGUUAGUCGUCACCAGCGAGGUUAAGGGCUUCAGGCCCGUCAGCCGAAGUGAAAGCGAGCCUUAACAGGGCGUGAAGUUGGUGGCGCUAGACGCGAAACCUUGUGAUCUACCCACGAGCAGGUUGAAGUCGCGGUAACACGUGAUGGAGGACCGAACCGGUAAACGUUGAAAAGUUUUCGGAUGACUCGCGGGUAGGGGUGAAAGGCCAAUCAAACUGGGAAAUAGCUCGUACUCUCCGAAAUGCAUUUCGGUGCAGCCUGUGAUGUUCUGUUCCAGAGGUAGAGCUACUGGUUGGACGCGAGGGCUUCACCGCCUAUCAAAUCCGGAUAAACUCCGAAUGCUGGAACACGAAAUCAUGGAGUGAGCCCGCGGGUGCUAAGGUCCGCGGACGAGAGGGAAAGAACCCGGACCACCGGCUAAGGUCCCGGAUGGACAGUUAAGUUGAUCAAACGAGGUGGGAUCGCGGAGACAGCUAGGAUGUUGGCUUGGAAGCAGCCAUUCAUUUAAAGAGUGCGUAACAGCUCACUAGUCGAGCGAUCCCGCGUGGAUAAUACACGGGCAUCAAACUGUCAACCGAAGCCGUGGGGUUAGCUUUAUUGCUAACCGGUAGGAGAGCAUUCCUGCCAGCUUUGAAGGUCACCCGCGAGAGUGACUGGAGCGGCAUGAAAAGCAAAUGUAGGCAUAAGUAACGAUAAUGGGGGCGAGAACCCCCCACGCCGCAAGACCAAGGAUUCCCCGGCAAUGUCAAUCAGCCGGGGGUCAGCCGGUCUCUAAGGCUAACCCGAAGGGGGACGCCGACGAGAAACGGGUUAACAUUCCCGUGCUUCUCGUCACCGUGACGCGGUGACGGGGUGAUGAAUGGACCGCGCGCUGACGGAAUAGCGCGUUGAAGACCGUACCCUUUGACGGUGGUAGUCAAGCACGCCACCGGAGGCGAAAGUCGAUAGUACCUCGAGGCCUCGGCCGAGGGGAUAGCGUCCAGGCAAUUUACCCCCGAGAAAACCCGCUAAACUUCAAGUGACGAGGAACCGUACUGUAAACGGACACACGUGGUCGGGUAGAACAUACCAAGGCGCUCGAGUGAUUCAUGGUCAAGGAACUAGGCAAAAUAGUCCUGUAACCUCGGGAAAAAGGACGCUCUAGUGAUAGAGCCGCAGAGUAAUGGCCCAGGCGACUGUUUACCAAAAACACAUGGCUAUGCCAAAUCGAAAGAUGACGUAUAUGGCCUGACACCUGCCCGGUGCCGGAAGGUUAAGAGGAGAGCUCAUCGGUAAUGAGAAGGUUUGAAUUGAAGCCCCGGUAAACGGCGGCCGUAACUAUAACGGUCCUAAGGUAGCGAAAUUCCUUGUC